rnacentral:rRNA from 1 species
GACGAACGCUGGCGGCGUGCUUAACACAUGCAAGUCGAACGGUGAAGCGCCUUCCUUUUUGGUGGGUGUGGAUGAGUGGCGAACGGGUGAGUAACACGUGAGUAACCUGCCCCCUUCUUCUGGAUAACCGCAUGAAAGUGUGGCUAAUACGGGAUAUUCUGGGUCUGUCGCAUGAUGGGUCUGGGAAAGAUAUUGUUUCGGUGGGGGAUGGGCUCGCGGCCUAUCAGCUUGUUGGUGGGGUGAUGGCCUACCAAGGCGGUGACGGGUAGCCGGCCUGAGAGGGUGGACGGUCACGCGGGGACUGAGACACGGCCCAGACUCCUACGGGAGGCAGCAGUGGGGAAUAUUGCACAAUGGGCGCAAGCCUGAUGCAGCGACGCCGCGUGAGGGAUGGAGGCCUUCGGGUUGUGAACCUCUUUCGCCAGUGAAGCAGGCCUGCCUCGUUUGUGGGUGGGUUGACGGUAGCUGGAUAAGAAGCGCCGGCUAACUACGUG